UGCUCAACUCUCAUGAUACUCUCCCCACUGCCCUGCCCUGUAUAAACCUCACCCCAGUUAGCCUCCCCCUCUUUCUCGCCGUUGUUCGAGGUAUCCUGGCAGCUGCUUCCCCAGUAAAGCUUUGCCUCAGGUGCUCCUGUUUCGGCUCAUUUUCUUUCAUUCUAGUGCUGAAACUUGGGAAGGCAACGGUCUGGACUGCGCCACAAUCCCCUGCUGGUUGGGGUUUUCUGGCCUCCCGGCUGUUCUUCCUGGGCCCUGCCAGACGAGCACCCACCAGGGGCCUUCACCUUUGCCGUUGCUGACACCCUGCAUCCACACCGGUCCCUGAUCUCUGGUUUCUACAUGAGCUUCUUCAAGGCCUCUCCAGAAUGGCUGUUACCCUUCCUGUUAUCCUGGCCCCCGAAACUAUGGAUGGAGACCAGAGGGGACAACCUUCCAGGUGACCAUCACUCCCCUUGCCCUCCAGGACGGGACGGAUGCAGAUCCUCUUCAGAUGCAUUUUGAAAUGUUUAAAACAAGAAGGGCCCGACAUACAAGAAUAAAACAAAGACAAAGUUCCAGCAAGGUUGAGGACUCAGCCAGGCGUGGUGGCCCAUGCCUGUAAUCCCAGCACUUUGGGAGGCUGAGGCAGAAGGAUCACAAGCUGUUUGUACCACAGAGAGACACUACUGCAGUCAGGUAAGUUAGUUAGAUAUCUUGUAGGCAGUUAGACAUGGCCAGCCCACAAGGAGCCAACAUGAGGCCAGCAUUGUAAAAGGAGAGAAACUACCACAUCCAUGCAGGAUGAAUAGCAGUGAUUGACACUCUAAAUAGGUAUCAAUCAUCUGAGUGGGGGACAAAGAUCUUCCAAGAAAGAUCCCUGACCCACCCCUUUCCACUGAAAAUCCUUGCACUUUCCUUGUACGCUUGCUACGUGACUUGUUUCCCCAUUUAAUCAAUAUUACCUGAGCAACUAUACUUUUCAUAAUCUUAUUGUUCACUCAUAGUUUUGUCCACCUUGUCAUUUCUCAUUGGAUCAAUAUUACCUAAGGGACUGUUCUUGUAAUCUUACUAGUUGACUAGUUUUGUCCCACUUUGAACCCGCCUCACCUUGUGGCUUUGUCCAAUAAAACAUCUUUGAGAAGUGGGGUGGGUGGGCAACCUGCUUUCCGGUCCCCCUUCUGUCUCUGUUAGGCAGAAGCUUCCU
rnacentral:lncRNA from 1 species